CCGACCAUCCCACCGGGAGGGGCCGGGGCCGACCCGCCUACCCCGGGGGCUGGGAUGCGCUGGGUAGCGGGGUGCUCAGGGACCGGGUUGGCCGAAUCACUGGAUCUUUCCCGGCGACGUCUCAUGGCUCUGCACCCCCUCGAGGGGGGGGCGCUCCAGCCCGCAGAGGGGUCGCAGUUGAGUCCUGGGG